GCUUGUGAUGAUUUAAUCCAUCUAGUUUGAGGUGUAGUGGAACUAAGCCCAUGUUUACAUGGAGAACCUACUUGGGGAAGCUACGUUCAUAUGACAUCAUUGGAUUAUUCUGAGGC
rfam:Lupinus angustifolius cultivar Tanjil chromosome LG08, whole genome shotgun sequence.